rnacentral:lncRNA from 1 species
GGUCGCAAAGAGUCGGACAUGGCUGAGCGACUGAACUGAACUGAACUGAAGCCUUAACUCCAUAAUAUUUAAAAUUAAAUGAAGUAUAUACCAGAUGGGACACUUAAAGCAAGUUUUUUAAAACAUUUUUGAGAUGCUGUGAGCAAAACCUGUGCCCCUCUUUGCCCUCUAACUAUCUUUAUUUAUCUCAUAGAAAUUUAAGUGUGUUUUCCAGAAAGUGGGAACUUGGACACUGUAUAUUAUUAUAGCAAAUAUUUGUUCAUUCUUUCAGCAAAUAUUUAUGAGUACAUAUAGGCAAAACAUAGAUAUAUCUGCUCUGAGUUUACAAGGGUAGUCAAAACAAACCAACUCUGCCUUAAAUAUACGUAUAAAAUUGUUUAUACGAUUUUUUUUGCUUGUAUUGUCAGCAAAAUCCUGAGUGAUUAUCAUACAGAAAAUCUUUGUCCUGGGUCAUUUUAAUAGCCUUAUAGAAAAGUACAAAUUAACUUGACCUUAGUGUCCUUUUCUAGUCAUCCAGAACUGUUCUCCUGCCUCUUAUUAACUCUGCACAUUCCAGAGCCUUUGCUCUUGAAAUGGGCUUCGUAUUUGUCCCUUUUAUUGCCAUUCGGUUGUAAGUGCUGUGAUGAGGUAUGAUCAUAGUUGCUGGGUUUUCAGUAGUUUUGCGGCAUGUUUGUGAGUGCAGGUAGGGAGCAAGCCCACAGGUAAGUUCUGGUUCUAGUGUUACUGAAAGGCAACCGUGGGAAUGAAAGAACUCUUUAUUCAUAUCCCUUUAACACUUCAUAGUCAAGAUUGCUGAAUUCCUCUUGGUUAUAAAUGGACCGCUCGAUGGGCCGUGAUUGUAUUUCUUACAAUGCAGGGUUUCCAGCCACAGACAGCUUCAAUGUAGGGCCCUAGCUAUUGGCUCUUAACAAGCUUGUGUUUCUGUGCAGCAAGAGUGAAGAAUGUGAUGACUGUUGGUUCUUCCCUCAGGGUUUCCCAGGUGUGCUGUGUGGAAUUUUCCCAGCCACUGUGUCUAAAGUUUUCUACUUUCAUUCAUCUUAGUGGUGCUUAUAUGGAGAUUUAUUAUUAAUGUAAUUCUGCUGUCUUUCAGCGAGAGCAAGAUAAUCAUUACUAUAGAGAAAGUAGUAGAAUUAACUGCUUCUUCAGUCAUGGCCUUCUGGCUUUGGUGAUUUUGGUAUUGUAUGCUAUUCCAAAAAGAAUA